AAGACGUUCCAGAGCUCCAGGCUCUGCUGAAAGAGGCAGGAGACUCCCCACAGGCCGACACAGAGGACGUAGCCCAGCUAAAGGUGCACCUGCAGAAAGAGAGAAAACUAAUCAAAGAUCUUGGCCAAGCAGCCACCAAACUCCAGCAGCUCUUAAAGUCCACUCAGGAGCAGCUCGCCAAAGAGAGGAACAAACACUGCACACUACAGGACCACUCUGAUGAGACCAAGAGUACAGUGCUGAAGGAAGGAACAUCUGUUUAAGAGACUGAAGACAAGACAUUAAAACAUUCCAAAAAGGC